rnacentral:lncRNA from 10 species
AGAGGCCCCGCCAGGACCUGCAGCCCUGGGCGCCCCAGCAGCCCGGCCCUGCUCAGCGCAGCUCUGGGUUGGAACUUGCACUUUCCAGUAACUCGGACCUCCCCCCGGCCGCCUUCCCAGGCGCCACCGGGCCCAGCAGAUCGUCACCGUCCAGGCUGGAGUGCAGUGGCGCGAUCUCGGCUCACCGCAACCUCCGUCUCCCCGGUUCAAGCGAUUCUCCUGCCUCAGCCUCCCAAGUAGCUGGGAUUACAGGCGUGUGCCACCACGCCCGGCGAAUGUUGUAUUUUCAGUAGAGACGGGGUUUCAGCAUGUUGGUCAAGCUGGUCUCUAACUCUUGAUCUCAAGUGAACCACCAGCCUCAGCCUCCCAAAGUGCUGGGAUUACAGGCGUGAGCCACCGCGCACGGCUAUCCCUUCCAAUAUUUCCGAGGCCAGCUGCCCAGAGAAGGAGGGCUGGGUGGAGAGGACCGUGCCAGCAGCAGUAGGCCUGGGCCAGGAGACAGGCACGCACCUCCGCGGUCUCUGGCGAGUCUAUGUCCACACAGCGGCAGGACCUCCACCCCCAGCCACCUGCAGCAGCCCCACAUCUCCACCGGGUCACCCUGCUGACAUCAAGAGUGCCUCCCGCAAUGUCCCAACCCAUGAGGGCUUCUUGGAGCUGAACCAGGGCACCGGCCACUUCUGGAGGGGGGCUGCUCGUGACUUCCGACCUCUGUCUCGCUAGUUGGCAUGAGAAGACUGGACUCCUUCUGCAGGCCUCAGGGCAGAGGCAGAUGUCAGCCCCCAGGGAUGUCACUGCCAGAACCCCAGAUGCCCCAAGCCAUCUGGACUCCCCCUGUGCAGUAUCUCUGCUACAAUAAAAUGUACCCAGAUCUGAGUCCUCUCACCUGGGCGACUGCCAAUGUCCCCUGCGGCCCUAUACCCCGCCCCCAGGAGCCCAGAGGAUCUUUCUUUUUAAAGAUAUUCAGACCUCACAGAUAAGUCUGCCCUGACCAGCCCCUCCCCAGUUCCCAGGCCCUAUCCUGACAACGGCCACAACUUCAGAGCAGCUGAAACCUGCUGUGAGUGAAAAAUGAGAAGCUGUUGUUUUAAUUUUACUUUCUCUGAUUACUAAUGAGGUUAUUUCUUCUCUGCAUAAAAACUUCAUUCGUGUUUAAUUGGAUUUUUGUCUUUUUGUUAAUGUAUAGGAGCUCCUUUUGUUCUUACAUAUAUUAUGAAUUCAAAUUCUUAUAGAUAAAGAUUAAUGUUUAGAGGCAAAAUCAUGGUUCUCAUGCAAAUACAAAUUGAACACACCUAAGAUUUUAUUUAACUCGUUAAUAAGGGAACCAGUAAGGUUAAAACCAGUUCAAAGGAGAAUUGGAAAGACAGAUGUGUAGGCAACAAGGAAAGCUGAAACAGCUUUGCUUAUUGGUGCAAAGUGCUUAAUAUCAUAGAGAGCAAUAAAGUGUACUGUUUGGGAUUAUCUUUUCCAUGGGACAGAAUUCAGUUCAGUCUCUAUGGAGCAAAAUUCAUUUGCAUUCUAUGGGCAGGAUCAUUGGCCUUAUAAUUGGUUUUCUAUAAGUUAAUUUCUCCCCUGACAGAGUUGUAAAAUAGCUGAGUCCAUAGCAUAGCAGUUGAAGAAGGACCCCAUCGAAUGAGAUCAUUCCCAGCGGGGUCACUAGACAGAUGCCACUUAGCACACCACUGAAAGGACACCCGCCUUAAGCCCAUUUCCAAGUCUAUGACAUUUUUUUGCUCUAUGUCACUUGUCUUUUCACUUUGUUGUCUUUUGUCCUGAAGUGAUGUUAUCAUUAACCAAUGGUUUCAUCUGUGAUUUGUGCUUUCUGUAUCUUGUUUAAGACAUCUUUGCAACCCAUAUAGAAACACACUCAAUUUUUUUUUGCAAGUUGACUUAAAGUAUUGCUUUUCGGCAGAGCCACCGCGCCCGGCCUAAUUCCUGUAUACAUCUUAUAAUCUAGCAGGGCAAGUUCUCACCAUCUUCUUCUUCUGCUUCCAAAUAGUCCCGACUAUUCUUGGACAUUUCCAUUCCCAUAUGAAUUACAGAAGCAGCUUGUCACAGAAAUCCCAUCUCUCUCUUUUGUCCUUGAGAGGUUUAGUGUCAGGUUUCUUGUAUGUUUUAGCCCUACCAUAAAUGGGAGAUUUAAGUUUUGUUACAUCUUCUAACUUGCAAUUGCUGGUAAAUAGGAACACUGCUUAUGACUGAUGAGGAUCUGAUGUCAAUCUGAUGAAUUUUCUCUAGAACCAGUAGCUUUUAUUUAUUAGUAGAUUUAUGGAUUUUUUUUUUUUACUCGUAGCUUUAGAUUUUUUUCUCUCUAUCCUAGAUGUUCUGAAAUUCCAUUAUGAGGUACCUUCUAGUGGAAUGUUGAGAUUUUAAUUUGUGUUCUUUCAUUUGUCCUACUUGGCAUUCACUGAGCACUUCCAAUCUGAGGACUCACCUCUUCCUUCAGUUCUAGGGGAUUCCUGUUUAAUGUAUCACUAAAUAUUAAUUAUCUUUCCUUCUCACUAAUGUCUACUCUUGGGCCUCUGAUUAGAUAAAUGAGGCAGCCUCUGGAUUUGCACUCCCUCUUUUUAAAGAAGCUACUCGCUGUUGUGUCAUAUAAUUCCCCUUUAUUGGACACUUCAUUUUUUUCUUCCAAACCUUUCAAAAAUUUUCCUUAGCCUUUGACUUUUAGAAAUUUGACUGUGAUUUGCCUAGGAGUGAUUUUACUUGCGUUUACUCUGCUUGGGGUUUGUUGAGCUUUUUGGAUCUGCAAGUUAAUCCUUUCCAUUAAUACUGAGAAGUUUUCAACCAUUAUUUACUCAAAUUUAUUCUGCCUCUAUGUCUCUCUCCUCUCCUUCUGGGACUCCAAUUACAUGUAUUUGUGAUGCUUGGUACUGUCCAAGAGGACACCGCCAUUCUCUUCUUUUUUCUCCAUUUUUUUUUUUUUUUUUUUGAGGCAGAGUCUCACUCUGUCACCCAGGCUGAAGUGCAAUGGCACAAUCUUGGCUCACUGCAACCUCCAUCUCCUGAGUUCAAGUAAUUCUCCUGCGUCAGCCUCCCAAGUAGCUGGGAUUACAGGCACCUGCCACCACAUCUGGCUCAUUUUUGUAUUUUUAGUAGAGACGGGGUUUUGGCAUAUUGGCCAGGCUGGUCUCAAACUUCUGACUUCAGGUGACCUACCCGCCUCCGCCUCCCAAAGUGCUGGGAUUAUAGGCAUGAGCCACCGUGCCCAGCCUUUUUACUCCAAUUCUAUUUUCCUCUUUUCUUUGAGUUAAAUAUUUUCUGCUGAUUUGUCUUCACGUUACUGAUCCUUUGUUUUUCUGCCAUCUCCAGAACUGGAGCCCGUCUAAUGAAUUUUUAAAAUUUCAUUAUUGUCCUUUUCAGCUCUAUAAUUCUCACUAAUGUUUCCAUUUGUCUGUGCAAAUUCUCUCUUCACUCAUUGAUAUCAUAUUUUUAUUUAAUUCCUUGAACAUAUUUUCCCAUGAACCUAUUUUUCUUUAAUUCUUCAAACAUAUAUAUAACAGAUACUUUGAAGUCUGUAACUGCU